CCUACGGGAGGCAGCAGUGAGGAAUAUUGGUCAAUGGGCGUAAGCCUGAACCAGCCAAGUCGCGUGAGGGAUGAAGGUUCUAUGGAUCGUAAACCUCUUUUAUAAGGGAAUAAAGUGUGGGACGUGUCCUGUUUUGUAUGUACUUUAUGAAUAAGGAUCGGCUAACUCCGUGCCAGCAGCCGCGGUAAUACGGAGGAUCCGAGCGUUAUCCGGAUUUAUUGGGUUUAAAGGGUGCGUAGGCGGCUUUUUAAGUCAGCGGUGAAAGUUUGUGGCUCAACCAUAGAAUUGCCGUUGAAACUGGGAGGCUUGAGUAUGGUUGAGGCAGGCGGAAUGCGUGGUGUAGCGGUGAAAUGCUUAGAUAUCACGCAGAACCCCGAUUGCGAAGGCAGCCUGCCAAGCCAUGACUGACGCUGAUGCACGAAAGCGUGGGGAUCAAACAGGAUUAGAUACCCCAGUAGUC
rnacentral:rRNA from 1 species